rnacentral:rRNA from 1 species
AACGAACGCUGGCGGCAGGCCUAACACAUGCAAGUCGAGCGCCCUUUCGGGGGAGCGGCGGACGGGUGAGUAACGCGUGGGAAUAUGCCCUUCUCUACGGAAUAGCCUCGGGAAACUGAGAGUAAUACCGUAUACGCCCUAUGGGGGAAAGAUUUAUCGGGGAAGGAUUAGCCCGCGUUGGAUUAGGUAGUUGGUGGGGUAAUGGCCUACCAAGCCGACGAUCCAUAGCUGGUUUGAGAGGAUGAUCAGCCACACUGGGACUGAGACACGGCCCAGACUCCAGGGGGAGGCAGGAGUGGGAGAGCGCAGAGGGUGGGGAGAACGCGGGAGUAGCGAGGCGGCGUGAGUGAGGAAGGAGUUGGGAUUAUAAAGCGCUUGGAGGUGGGAAGAAAAGGCCGGUACCACCAGACGAACCCCCGGCAAACGCCGUGCCAGCGGCCGCGUAAUAAGCGGAGGAGCACACGUCGGACC